rnacentral:rRNA from 1 species
CCUACGGGUGGCUGCAGUGGGGAAUAUUGCACAAUGGGCGCAAGCCUGAUGCAGCCAUGCCGCGUGUAUGAAGAAGGCCUUCGGGUUGUAAAGUACUUUCAGCGGGGAGGAAGGCGAUAAGGUUAAUAACCUUGUCGAUUGACGUUACCCGCAGAAGAAGCACCGGCUAACUCCGUGCCAGCAGCCGCGGUAAUACGGAGGGUGCAAGCGUUAAUCGGAAUUACUGGGCGUAAAGCGCACGCAGGCGGUCUGUCAAGUCGGAUGUGAAAUCCCCGGGCUCAACCUGGGAACUGCAUUCGAAACUGGCAGGCUGGAGUCUUGUAGAGGGGGGUAGAAUUCCAGGUGUAGCGGUGAAAUGCGUAGAGAUCUGGAGGAAUACCGGUGGCGAAGGCGGCCCCCUGGACAAAGACUGACGCUCAGGUGCGAAAGCGUGGGGAGCAAACAGGAUUAGAUACCCUUGUAGUC